rnacentral:tRNA from 1 species
UCCCCCAUGGUCCAGUGGUGAAGACUCCACACUACCACUGCAGGGGGCCCAGGUUCAAUCCCUGGUUGGGGAA